rnacentral:lncRNA from 1 species
AUAGCUGGCAGACUAAUAAGCAGGAAGAGGAAUAUGGAACAAAGCCAGAAUAUAGAGAAUUGGAGUACAGAGUUCCUAAAAUUCGAAGAAAAGGUAGGUAAGAUGCCAGAGAUAGUCUCUUGAAGGGAAAGUGGUUAUAAGGUGGUAAUAGGCAGUAUCUCUACUGAACAACUGGAAAUAAUAUGUGAAGGAAAGGGAGAGGGAAAGUGGCCACAUGAACUGAU